rnacentral:antisense_RNA from 1 species
CGAGGGGAUUUAUCCCCGAUGGACUGCGCAGCAGUCCCCUUCUACCUAAGAAGGGGCCGCUUCGCGACCCAUCGGGGAUAAAUCCCCUCA